UUUAAUUGAAGAGUUUGAUCAUGGCUCAGAUUGAACGCUGGCGGCAGGCCUAACACAUGCAAGUCGAGCGGCAGCACAGAGAAACUUGUUUCUCGGGUGGCGAGUCGGCGGACGGGUGAGAAUG
rnacentral:rRNA from 1 species